GAUGAACGCUGGCGGCGUGCCUAAUACAUGCAAGUCGAGCGAACAGACGAGGAGCUUGCUCCUCUGACGUUAGCGGCGGACGGGUGAGUAACACGUGGAUAACCUACCUAUAAGACUGGGAUAACUUCGGGAAACCGGAGCUAAUACCGGAUAAUAUAUUGAACCGCAUGGUUCAAUAGUGAAAGACGGUUUUGCUGUCACUUAUAGAUGGAUCCGCGCCGCAUUAGCUAGUUGGUAAGGUAACGGCUUACCAAGGCAACGAUGCGUAGCCGACCUGAAAGGGAGAUCGGCCACACUGGUACUGAGACACGGUCCAGACUCCUACGAGAGGCAGCAGUAGGGAAUCUUCCGCAAUGGGCGAAAGCCUGACGGAGCAACGCCGCGUGAGUGAUGAAAGUCUUCGGAUCGUAAAACUCUGUUAUUAGGGAAGAACAAAUGUGUAAGUAACUAUGCACGUCUUGACGGUACCUAAUCAGAAAGCCACGGCUAACUACGUG
rnacentral:rRNA from 1 species